rnacentral:lncRNA from 10 species
GUGGGAGGGAGUGAGAAACAGAAUGAAUGAACUAGACCACUCACUUGACACUAGUCUUAGGAAUCUGGUCUCUGAUUCCAUUUUCAACAGGAUGGUAACUGAGGGAAACAAAAAGUGCACUGGACUCUUAUAUUUCCAGUGGGGACUUGUGUCAGCCCUGGCCCUUGAGGCAGUGUGCUGGAAUGAGGAGUGGCAAGAGCCUGCUUAUUAACUAGUCAUGACAAUAUCCACCCACGCUGUGACUUCAUUUCUGCUUCCUUGGAAGGGAUGGCCUUCUGAAAAGAAGUUCUACUCAUCCUUCCAAGCCUAUAGAACCAAGGAUAAGGAGAAGCUAGGAGCCUAAAAUAUAGAAAAGAAAUGAUAUAUUCACAAGACGCUGUCAGAAAAGCAUACUGAUCACAAAAUCAUGACAUUCGAGAGGGAAUUUUAUAGCAUGUGCCGAAUCCUGAGGUCAAAACCAUAGUGGAAUAACAUAGCUCCCUCUAAACCUCUUAGACACCAUCCUCUGUGUGAGUAGUCCUCACUGCUUUUUUUCUACAUUCAAUAGGGUUACAGUUUCAAUUGCAUAGCCUCUGUGUUACAUUUACGAUAACAAUACUUCAAAAAAAUCUGUUACAUCCUUUUGAAAUCAAAGUUCAGAGGAUUGCUUCUAAGCUAGGACAUAGAAAUGGAGUAUUUCUUUAGGACUUUUUAUCUUUAUUUUACUGAUUAUACUAUAAUUGUGGGGGCCAUCUCAAAUACAAUUUUAAACAUCAUCAAUGUAUUUGGUGAAAGAUAUCAAAGGUGGGUUGUAAGAAUUAUGUCUAUGAUUAUGCCACUGGAUGGCAAAAUACGGAUGUAUCUGUCAUUAGUUUUCUAGCCCAUAAAAUCACACUUUUUAAAAAAGGCUAACAGCGGUUAUUACCUAAUUUAUAAGUAAUCGUAUGGAGUGAUGUAAAGUAGCCUGUCGUUUUUAAUACUUUUUUUGUGAUUAAGUAAGUUUGCGUCUAUUCUUUGCAGUGACUUUAAGUGUUCUUGGCUGGUUUUUGUUGUUUUUGUUGUUGUUGUUGUUUUUAAUGGAGUCUUGCUCUGUCACCAGGCUGGAGUGCAGUGGC